AUUGAACGCUGGCGGAAUGCUUUACACAUGCAAGUCGAACGGCAGCACGGGAGCAAUCCUGGUGGCGAGUGGCGAACGGGUGAGUAAAGCAUCGGAACGUGCCCAGUCGUGGGGGACAACGUAGCGAAAGCUACGCUAAUACCGCAUACGAUCUGUGGAUGAAAGCGGGGGACCGUAAGGCCUCGCGUGAUUGGAGCGGCCGAUGUCAGAUUAGGUAGUUGGUGAGGUAAAGGCUCACCAAGCCGACGAUCUGUAGCUGGUCUGAGAGGACGACCAGCCACACUGGGACUGAGACACGGCCCAGACUCCUACGGGAGGCAGCAGUGGGGAAUUUUGGACAAUGGGCGCAAGCCUGAUCCAGCAAUGCCGCGUGCAGGAUGAAGGCCUUCGGGUUGUAAACUGCUUUUGUACGGAGCGAAACGGCUUCCACUAAUACUGGGGGCUCACGACGGUACCGUAAGAAUAAGCACCGGCUAACUACGUGCCAGCCGCCGCCGUAACAC
rnacentral:rRNA from 1 species